UGUUACUGAGAUAGCACAAUACCCUGGAAGCUGUAGGUGACCUGGUAGCCAUCACGAUCUACUCUGCAUCUUAACUUAAUUGGAAGAACAAUGAAGACAAUUGUUCCCACAUUAUUUCUGUUUCUAUGGCUGCAGCUGUAUGAAGUGAGCAUAGGAGAGCAGGUGGAGCAGCGUCCUUCCAUCCUGACAGUCCAGGAGGGAGCCAGCGCUGUCAUCAACUGCACUUACACAGACAGUGCCUCAUCCUACUUCCUUUGGUAUAAGCAAGGACCUGGAGAGCAUCCUAAGCUCAUUAUUGACAUUCGAUCAACUAUGGAGAGAAAGCAGGACCAAAGACUGAUAGUUUUACAGGACAAGAAAGCCAAACACUUCUCCCUGCACAUCACAGACACCCAGCCUGGGGACUCUGCCAUGUACUUCUGUGCUGCAAGUGCACACUGCUCCCCAGGCACCUGCAGUCUGUCCUCAAACCUGACAAAGGGCCUGGAGCCCCAUGCACAUCCUGUGUCACAGACCUUCCUGUGCAACAUUUGUCAGCUGUUAGUUGUGAAAAGUCAACUAUAG